rnacentral:rRNA from 1 species
CGGUGAAUACGUUCCCGGACCUUGCACACACCGCCCGUCAAGCCAUGGAAGCCGGGUGUACCUAAAGUCGGUAACCGUUAAGGAGCUGCCUAAAGGUAAAACUGGUGACUGGGGCU